GUUUCCGUGGUGUAGCGAUUAUCACGUCUGCUUCAUACGCAGACGGUCCUCGGUUCGAUCCCGGGCGGGAACA